rnacentral:rRNA from 1 species
GACGAACGCUGGCGGCGUGCUUAACACAUGCAAGUCGAGCGGUAAGGCCCUUUCGGGGGUACACGAGCGGCGAACGGGUGAGUAACACGUGGGUGACCUGCCCUCAGCUCUGGGAUAAGCCUGGGAAACCGGGUCUAAUACUGGAUAUGACUCCAUGACGCAUGUUGUGGGGUGGAAAGCCUUGUGCGGCUGAGGAUGGGCCCGCGGCCUAUCAGCUUGUUGGUGGGGUGAUGGCCUACCAAGGCGACGACGGGUAGCCGGCCUGAGAGGGCGACCGGCCACACUGGGACUGAGACACGGCCCAGACUCCUACGGGAGGCGAGCAGUGGGGAAUCUUGCGCAAUGGGCGAAAGCCUGACGCAGCGACG